rnacentral:rRNA from 1 species
GUAUCAUGGCUCAGGAUGAACGCUAGCGGCAGGCUUAACACAUGCAAGUCGAGGGGCAGCAUAAUGGAUAGCAAUAUCUAUGGUGGCGACCGGCGCACGGGUGCGUAACGCGUAUGCAACCCUACCUUUAACAGGGGGAGUAACACUGUAGAAAAUUGGUACUAAUACCCCAUAAUAUCAUAGAAGGCAUCUUUUAUGGUUGAAAAAUUCCGUAUGGUUAGAGAUGGGGCAUGCGUUGUUA